CAGCAGCCACGGUAAUACGAAGGGGGCUAGCGUUGUUCGGAAUUACUGGGCGUAAAGGGCGCGUAGGCGGCCAUUCAAGUUAGAUGUGAAAGCCCUGGGCUCAACCUAGGAAUUGCAUUUGAUACUGUUUGGCUUGAGUUCGGGAGAGGUGAGUGGAAUUCCCAGUGUAGAGGUGAAAUUCGUAGAUAUUGGGAAGAACACCAGUGGCGAAGGCGGCUCACUGGACCGACACUGACGCUGAGGCACGAAAGCGUGGGGAGCAAACAGGAUUAGAUACCCCAGUAGUCCCUGUCUCUUAUAC
rnacentral:rRNA from 1 species